AGGCGCGAAAACUUUACAAUGCGGGAAACCGCGAUAAGGGAACCCCGAGUGCCAGCAUCAAAUGUUGGCUGUCCAGAUGAUUAAAACUCAUUUGUUAGCAAGGGCCGGGCAAGACCGGUGCCAGCCGCCGCGGUAACACCGGCGGCCCGAGUGGUAACCGUUUUUAUUGGGUCUAAAGGGUCCGUAGCCGGCCUGAUCAGUCCUUUGGGAAAUCUGACAGCUUAACUGUCAGGCUUCUAAGGGAUACUGUCAGGCUUGGGACCGGGAGAGGUAAGGGGUACUCCAAGGGUAGGGGUGAAAUCUUGCAAUCCUUGGGGGACCAUCUGUGGCGAAGGCGCCUUACCAGAACGGGUCCGACGGUGAGGGACGAAAGCUAGGGGAGCAAACCGGAUUAGAUACCCGGGUAGUCCUAGCCGUAAACGAUGCUCGCUAGGUGUCAGGCACGGCGCGUCCGUGUCCGGUGCCGCAGGGAAGCCGUUAAGCGAGCCACCUGGGAAGUACGGUCGCAAGGCUGAAACUUAAAGGAAUUGGCGGGGGAGCACUACAACGGGUGGAGCCUGCGGUUUAAUUGGAUUCAACGCCGGAAAACUCACCGGGUGCGACAGCAAUAUGUAGGUCAGGCUGAAGGUCUUACCUGAAUCGCUGAGAGGAGGUGCAUGGCCGUCGUCAGUUCGUACUGUGAAGCAU
rnacentral:rRNA from 1 species